rnacentral:tRNA from 1 species
CAAGCUCCGAGGUGUUUUACAUAUAAGAUUGCAAAUCUUAAGAUGCAGGCUAAUUACCUGCCGGGGCUUUC